UUGAACGCUGGCGGCAGGCCUAACACCUGCAAGUCGAGCGGAUGAAGGGAGCUUGCUCCUGGAUUCAGCGGCGGACGGGUGAGUAAUGCCUAGGAAUCUGCCUGGUAGUGGGGGAUAACGUCCGGAAACGGGCGCUAAUACCGCAUACGUCCUGAGGGAGAAAGUGGGGGAUCUUCGGACCUCACGCUAUCAGAUGAGCCUAGGUCAGAUUAGCUAGUUGGUGGGGUAAAGGCCUACCAAGGCGACGAUCCGUAACUGGUCUGAGAGGAUGAUCAGUCACACUGGAACUGAGACACGGUCCAGACUCCUACGGGAGGCAGCAGUGGGGAAUAUUGGACAAUGGGCGAAAGCCUGAUCCAGCCAUGCCGCGUGUGUGAAGAAGGUCUUCGGAUUGUAAAGCACUUUAAGUUGGGAGGAAGGGCAGUAAGUUAAUACCUUGCUGUUUUGACGUUACCAACAGAAUAAGCACCGGCUAACUUCGUG
rnacentral:rRNA from 1 species